rnacentral:SRP_RNA from 2 species
GCUGGGUGUGGUAGCUCACACCUGUAAUCCUAGCACUUUAGGAGGCUGAGGCAGGAGGAUCCCUUGAGCGCGGGAGUUUUGAGACCAGCCUGGGCAACAUAGGGAGACCUUGUCUCUA